rnacentral:rRNA from 1 species
CAAACAUCUCCAGGCGACGACGGGUAGCCGGCCUGAGAGGGCGACCGGCCACACUGGGACUGAGACACGGCCCAGACUCCUACGGGAGGCAGCAGUGGGGAAUAUUGCACAAUGGGCGAAAGCCUGAUGCAGCGACGCCGCGUGAGGGAUGACGGCCUUCGGGUUGUAAACCUCUUUCAGCAGGGAAGAAGCGAAAGUGACGGUACCUGCAGAAGAAGCGCCGGCUAACUACGUGCCAGCAGCCGCGGUAAUACGUAGGGCGCGAGCGUUGUCCGGAAUUAUUGGGCGUAAAGAGCUCGUAGGCGGCUUGUCACGUCGGUUGUGAAAGCCCGGGGCUUAACCCCGGGUCUGCAGUCGAUACGGGCAGGCUAGAGUUCGGUAGGGGAGAUCGGAAUUCCUGGUGUAGCGGUGAAAUGCGCAGAUAUCAGGAGGAACACCGGUGGCGAAGGCGGAUCUCUGGGCCGAUACUGACGCUGAGGAGCGAAAGCGUGGGGAGCGAACAGGAUUAGAUACCCUGGUAGUCCACGCCGUAAACGGUGGGCACUAGGUGUGGGCAACAUUCCACGUUGUCCGUGCCGCAGCUAACGCAUUAAGUGCCCCGCCUGGGGGAGUACGGA